rnacentral:rRNA from 1 species
AGUGAACGCUGGCGGUAGGCCUAACACAUGCAAGUCGAACGGCAGCACAGUAAGAGCUUGCUCUUACGGGUUGCGAGUGGCGGACGGGUGAGGAAUACAUCGUACUCUACUUUUUCGUGGGGGAUAACGUAGGGAAACUUACGCUAAUACCGCAUACGACCUACGGGUGAAAGCAGGGGAUCUUUGGACCUUGCGCGAUUGAAUGAGCCGAUGUCGGAUUAGCUAGUUGGCGGGGUAAUGACCCACCAAGUCGACGAUCCGUCGCUGGUCUGAGAGGAUGGUCAGCGACACUGGAGCUGAGACACGGUCCAGACUCCUACGGGAGGCAGCAGUGGGGAAUAUUGGACAAUGGGCGCAAGCCUGAUACAGCCAUACCGCGUGGGUGAAGAAGGCCUUCGGGUUGUAAAGCCCUUUUGUUGGGAAAGAAAAGCAGCAGGUUAAUACCCCGCUGUUCUGACGGUACCCAAAGAAUAAGCACCGGCUAACUUCGUG